GACGAACGCUGGCGGCGUGCCUAAUACAUGCAAGUAGAACGCUGAAGGAGGAGCUUGCUUCUCUGGAUGAGUUGCGAACGGGUGAGUAACGCGUGGUAACCUGCCUGGUAGCGGGGGAUAACUAUUGGAAACGAUAGCUAAUACCGCAUAAUAGUAGAUGUCGCAUGACAUUUGCUUAAAAGGUGCAAUUGCAUCACUACCAGAUGGACCUGCGUUGUAUUAGCUAGUUGGUGAGGUAACGGCUCACCAAGGCAACGAUACAUAGCCGACCUGAGAGGGUGAUCGGCCACACUGGGACUGAGACACGGCCCAGACUCCUACGGGAGGCAGCAGUAGGGAAUCUUCGGCAAUGGACGGAAGUCUGACCGAGCAACGCCGCGUGAGUGAAGAAGGUUUUCGGAUCGUAAAGCUCUGUUGUAAGAGAAGAACGAGUGUGAGAGUGGAAAGUUCACACUGUGACGGUAUCUUACCAGAAAGGGACGGCUAACUACGUG
rnacentral:rRNA from 1 species